CUUUGACAAGAUUAGGUUUAAACACCUCUAUUGUCAUGUGUUUAAGGGAUAAUAGGCAUCUCGAAUAUCGAGAUUCUAUUAUAGGCGCAGUCCAAGCUGGACUGAAUGAUGGCCCAGUUUAUUUCUAGUGCUAUCCUAACUUCACAGUUAGAAUAAGAGAUGCAGACAUCUUAGAUUCCGUUGUCCUGCAUAUUAAGACCCAUGACUUUAAGAUCAAACCAGGAAACAGUCCUGUUUCAAUCAUAACCAGGUUUGCCUAUAAGAGCAUGAACACAAGCGUUGGAUCUGGGGCUCUUUGCACCAGUCCUAAAGGUGAGACCACUUACUUUCACUCAGAUAUGCUAGAUAAGUCAAAUUUCAUCAUCCCCAAGAAGAUCUUGUGGAAAGAUGUUGAGUUUCCUGAAAAUUGGCAUUUUGCUAAUGUUGUUCCAGCCAUUGCACAGCGUUCUGAAAGUAUUGAACAAAUUGUUCAAUAUCCUGAUGGAGGAGGAGAACUGGUUUUCUCCAACUCCUUCAGACAUUCUAGCAGCCCUAGAGUUUCUGUUUAUGAACCCUCUAGAGCUUUAAGCUCUUCCAUCUCAGUUAGAACCACUAGGGAAGAAGAAGGUUCCAGCUCAGGAAAUCCUAAGAAUAUUAAGCUAACAGGUGUUAGAAGUCACACCAACGUGGCUAGACCAUUUUACACUGAAGAAAAUGAGUCUACUAAGGAAUCCCAACAGGAUGAGUCCCCUGUUAUGUCUCCUACCUAUUCCCAGAUGAUUAACACAAUAAGCCUAAGUGAUGAGGACUUUGAGAUCAACAAGGAUCUCUUAAGAAAGGACUUCUAUUCUGAAGUCAAUAAGCAAAGAAAUGAUUGGUUCUUUAGCACUAUCCCUAAAGUCAUUAGAACCAUUUACCAAGAAGAAUUCUAUGCCUACUUAAGACAAGAAAAGAAAAAUAUUAAGUUUUGGAUUUGGUUUGAACUCUUCAAAUAAGAGGAAUAUCCAGAUUAUCCUUAUAAGCAUAUUAACAACACCUCUACAAAAGCUAAGAUAUGGAAAACCAGUGACAACAUUGUUAUAGAAUCCAUUCAUCCUCCUGAAGCUAAGAUAGAAAAGAAUAUUAAUGGAACCAUAGUCAUAGCUUCACCUUUUAAGACUAAGUCAGAGGAUAAAGGAACUGCUAGUGCAACCGAUAUUAGAAGGAUUAUGGAACAUAUCAAUUAUACUAAUAUGUUUCUCAUAACCCUUGGAAAUCAAGUCAACAAAGUUGAGGAGAUUAUUGAAACUCAGGAUCACCUUAAGAAGCCUUUUGUUAAGAAUGAUAAUAAGCCUUUGUUUAAGCCUUUUGAAUUAUCCAAGAAAUUCCAGGAAAAUCCUCAAAUUGAUCAAGCUUUCAUUGAUAGAAUAAGCCAAAAGGUUAAAGAUAAUCUUGUUAUCCCUGAAACACCUCAAACUUUUUGCUAUCCAUGAAACACCUCUACCUUCCCAUAGGAGAAUCCUUUUGGUUAAAAGGAAUAUUAGUCCAAAAGCAAAGGAUAAUGGACUAAUUAGGUUAACCAGAGAACCUUCUAUCCAAAACCCUUUUAAGGAUCAUAGUGAUAAACAAGAGAUUAUCCUUAAUACCCUGACUAUUAAAGAUCUUCAAGAAGAAAUAGGGCAGUAUAAAAAGGAUAUUAAGAACCUAAAACAACCUACAAGCUCAGAAUUCCCUAUCCCUCAUGAUUAUAUCAACAGGGUAGGUUUUUACCACAGUAGUCCUAAAAAGGAAGACUUUGAAGAAGUUCUUGAAUCUUCACAAGACAAUAAUGAUAAGAUAAAUGCAUACUUAAAUACUAUUAGUAAAGUUAUCUUCCAAAUGUGGGAAGUCUCCCUUACUAUAGUAAUUAAGAAUAAAUUUAUCCUUGAUAUUAUUGCUUUAAUUGAUUCAGGUGCAGCUUUGAAUUGUCUACAAGAAGGUCUUGUACCUACCCAACUUUAUGAGAAAACCAGGCAAGCCCUUUUUGGUGCUAAUGGUAAAAAGCUUAUUAUCAAGUACAAGCUAUCGAAUGCCCAUAUUUGUAACCAAGGCAUUUGUAUUAAGCAAACCUUCAUUCUUGUUAAAGAUCUCAAGGAGCAAGCUCUCCUUGGAGUCCCUUUCUUAAGCUCCAUCUUUCCCAUGUGGGUAGAUGAUCAAGGUAUAAGAACUAAGCUUUUAGAUAAGGAAAUUCUGUUUGAAUUUGCCAAUCCAUCUGGAGAAAGAAGUAUAAACACCAUAAAAGAUCAGGUGAUUAAGGCUAAGCAAAAUCAUAUUAAUCUCUUAAAGCAAGAGAUUGCUUUGGUUAGAACAGAAGAUCAAUUGAAGGUUAAGAAAACUCAAGAUACCAUAGAAAAUUUUAAGAAUAAAAUUAUUAGGGAAGUGUGUUCUAACAUUCCUAAUGCUUUUUGGCACAGAAAGCAGCAUGAGGUAGAAUUACCUUAUGAGCCUGAUUUUAGUGAGAAAAAUAUUCCCACUAAAGCAAGACCAAUCCAAAUGAACAAGGAUUUGUUAAGCUAUUGCGAAAAAGAAAUCCAGGAUCUCAUAGAUAAGAAGUUGAUAAGGAAGUCUAAAUCCCCUUGGAGUUGUUCAGCCUUUUAUGUUCAUAAACAAGCUGAACUAGAAAGAGGAACACCUAGACUAGUCAUCAACUAUAAGCCCCUCAAUGAUGUUUUAAGAUGGAUUAGGUAUCCUAUCCCAAAUAAAAAAGACCUCCUUCAAAGAUUAGUAAAGUCCAAAGUUUUCUCUAAGUUUGACAUGAAAUCAGGAUUUUGGCAAAUCCAGAUUGCGGAAAAAAAUAGGUACAAAACAACCUUUGUGGUCUCAUUUGGUCAUUAUGAGUGGAAUGUAAUGCCCUUUGGUCUUAAGAAUGCAUCUUCUGAGUUUCAAAACAUAAUGAAUGAAAUCUUUAACCACUUUUCUGAUUUCAUUAUUGUUUACAUUGAUGAUGUUUUGAUUUACUCAGAUUCUGUUGAGCAGCAUUGGAAACAUCUCAAUAAGUUUGUUGAGACUGUUAAGAGCAAUGGUUUAAGCUUGUCAGCCACUAAGAUUAACCUCUUUCAAACUAAAGUAAGAUUCCUAGGUCAUCAUAUUCACCAAGGAACAUUCACUCCCAUUCAAAGAUCAAUUGAGUUUGUUGAUAAGUUCCCUGAUGAGAUUAAGGAUAAGAAACAAUUGCAACGUUUCUUAGGAAGCCUUAAUUAUGUGUCAGAUUUCAUACAAGAUUUAAGCCAAUUAUGUGCCCCUUUAAGACAAAGACUUAAGAAAAAUCCAGUUCCUUGGAAUGAGGAUCAUACCAAGAUUGUUAAAAUAGUAAAGUCUAGAGUCAAAACCUUACCAUGUCUCACCUUAGCUGAUCAUAAAGCCUUUAAGGUUGUUGAGACUUAUGCUUCUGACAUAGGUUUUGGUGGAAUUCUUAAGCAAAGAAGUAAUAAUCAAGAAUUGUUGGUUAGAUUCACUUCUGGAACUUGGAACCAUGCCCAACUCAACUACAGCACCAUCAAAAAGGAAAUUUUAAGCAUCGUUUUAUGCAUUUCAAAAUUUCAAGACGAUCUUUUGAAUCAGGAAUUUUUAUUAAGAGUGGAUUGCAAAUCUGCAAAAUCAGUUUUACAAAAGGAUGUUAAAAAUAUAGCUUCUAAACAUAUUUUUGCUAGAUGGCAAGCUAUUUUAAGCAAUUUUGAUUUUCAAAUUGAGUAUACUAAAGGAGAAAAUAACUCAAUCCGUGAUUUCCUAACUCGUGAAUUUUUGCAGGAUUCACAAGAUCAUGGCUCCCAAAACAGAAAAGCAAUCCUUUAAGAAAUCAUCAUCUUACAUGAAACCUCAUUCAGUCUUAUUAGAAAAAUUCAAACCUUUGUAUUAUGAUUUUGCUUCAGGAUCGCAGGGAUCUACUUCUUAUCCUAAUCCUCCAGUUCUUAAGCAUCUUUCGUCCCCUGUUGUGGAAGAAGAAAAUAUUUCUAGUUCUCUACCUUUGGUGGAAGAACCCAUCCCCUUAGACUUCUCUACUUUUGAUACUAACCCCUUAUCUGUUCAUAAGAGUAUUUGUGAUUUGCAGGCUAGGUGCAGGACCCUUGAAAAAAGGCUAGAAAUAGCUAAUUUUCCCCAAGAAGAUAUAAGCUAAGCCCUUUUUUCCCCACUGGAAAUUGGUGAGAAAAAACCAUUCACCCCACUAGUGAAUGAGAAAUUAAGUAAGGAUGAGCAGGAGUACAUUAUCUUUAGAAUGUUUCACCGAAGGAAUGAGAUCCUAUCCACUCUUAAGCCAGAUGAUAUUUAUCAGCUAAUUUGUGAAAAAGCCAAGUCCAGUGCAGAAGAAAAGCAAGUUUUUAUUUCGGCUUAUCUUCAGGAUCUGCACAUUUAUCUCUCAGCCAUUCCUGGUCUCAGUGUUCCAGGAUUAAAUUUAACUAAGGAAAUGGAAUUUGAUGGCUCAAAACUUUGCAGAAAUUGUACUGAACCGCUUCUUCAUCAACAUGACAACAAGUCAAUUUGCAACUGCAAUAGAAAUUUCACUAUCAGCAAAGCCUGCAUUGAUCUACAGUAUUACCAGCCAAUUAACCUUGCUUUCAAAGGAGAAGUUUUAAUCCUAACUCCUGAAAAGCUUCUUGAUUAUGGAUUGGUUUACCAACUUAUCUGUUCUAAUCCAAGUCAAGCUAGCAAUUUUGGCAGAAAGGUUAAUCUAAGCUUAACCCAAGGUUUUAAGUUAAACAAGAAGUUUGCUGACGCCAUUUUUAUUAGCAAAGCUCCUGAAUGGAUUUCUAGAGGCAACAUUCUUCCAGCCCAACACUAUGUUAAUCUUCAUUACCAAAAUAGAAGACCUACUCUUCUGUCCAGUCCCUUAGUUCAAACCGAUAUUUGCGCAGAGCCAAUUAUUAAGCAAAUCAAGCAUUGGAGAGCCAGAGUCAUCAGCAGAGACUUUGAAGCCUACCCAAAAAACAUGGGGCAUCUCAUUGCUGCGGAUUCCCUACAUCAGAUAUUUUGCAAUAAAAAAAUUGACCCUUUACCGUUCAAAUCCACUAUCCAUGAUACUCAGCUCCUAAUGGAUCACCGCUCAGAAUAUAUUCCUCCUUGAUUAAUUGAUCAGCAGUCGUUUCAGCCGAAAGCAAGAUUCCGGGUCAAAAGUCAAAAGUGCUACAGUUCCCUCUUACUGCUCACUUUUACUAUUCAAGCACGGGUCUACUGUUCAUUGUUACUAUUCAAGAUUCCUUUUUGCCUAUUUAAGGGGGCUCGGUCCUCAUUUGUAAGCACGCAUAAUUUUAGAUCUGAAACCUCUCCCAGCUUAUGCUCUCCCUUCUCUCUUCUUUCUCUCUCAUCAUGUAAGCCCUUCAAGCUUUCAAGUUUUCUCAAAGCUUUCCUACCCUUGUCCAUUGUAAGAUAUUUCUCCUUAUCUAAUAUAAAUAUGUUUUGAUUACCUCCUAUAUGGAUGGUUUUUAAUUAAGUUUUCUUUUCAUUUCAUUUUAUGUUCUUAUACCUCCUACAUGGAUGGUUUUAAUUAAGCUUUGUUUUUAAUUUUAUUUUGUACCGCCUACAUGGUCGGUUUUAAGCUUAUCAUGAACUAACAAGUUUUUUGGUUCCUUCUCUUUAAAUUUCUUGUUGGAUAUCUUUUGUAUCAUCUAACCCUCUUCUUUGUUUUGAAUCAUGGCAUAAUUCCUGUUUUCAUUGCAUAUGACCUUGUCCUGGGUGUCUAUGGUAUCAGAGCCAUGGGAAAGGGAAGUUAGGUUUGUUUUGGGUGUUUUUGGCCUAUCCUAGGAUAGGUAGCAGUGUGCCUAGGAGCGCGAGCCCUACCGAUUGAGCCGUUGUUAGUCGUGGAUAGGAGUUUGUUAGGCUGUAAGAGGGUUGGGGUGACGUCUCAUAAGGUUUGUCAAUAUGCUAUUAGGCUCUAGAUCAAAACCCUAAAAUGAGUUCAAUUUUCAGAACCAUGUCUAGAAGAUCCAGUGAUUCUCAAGAUACUGUUGUAAACAGUGAAGAAAUCAAUUAUCCUAAGAUCCAAAAUGAUUUAGAUGAUUGGAAGUUACCCAAGGUGUCUAAUCAAGAAAUUUAUAAGAAAGAAACCUUUAAGUUCUUCACAGAUUAUACCAUCAAGACCUCUGAAAUGUCAGUCAGCUUAGAACAAGACGACCAAGUCAUAAGACUUCUAGAUAACAGAUCCAUUGAAAAGCAUAAGAAAGAUGGUUAUAAUUUCAUACACUUUGGUAUGAUUCAAGUAGCUGCUAAGCCUUUGACAAGAUUAGGUUUAAACACCUCUAUUGUCAUGUGUUUAAGGGAUAAUAGGCAUCUCGAAUAUCGAGAUUCUAUUAUAGGCGCAGUCCAAGCUGGACUGAAUGAUGGCCCAGUUUAUUUCCAGUGCUAUCCUAACUUCACAGUUAGAAUAAGAGAUGCAAACAUCUUAGAUUCCGUUGUCCUGCAUAUUAAGACCCAUGACUUUAAGAUCAAACCAGGAAACAGUCUUGUUUCAAUCAUAACCAGGUUUGCCUAUAAGAGCAUGAACACAAGCGUUGGAUCUGGGGCUCUUUGCACCAGUCCUAAAGGUGAGACCACUUACUUUCACUCAGAUAUGCUAAAUAAGUC
rnacentral:lncRNA from 1 species